rnacentral:rRNA from 1 species
AUUGAACGCUGGCGGCAUGCCUAACACAUGCAAGUCGAACGGCAGCACGGCAGUAGCAAUACUGUGGGUGGCGAGUGGCGGACGGGUGAGGAAUACGUCGGAAUCUGCCCAGUCGUGGGGGGAUAACUAGCCGAAAGGUUAGCUAAUACCGCAUACGACCGAGAGGUGAAAGCGGGGGACCGCAAGGCCUCGCGCGAUUGGAUGAGCCGACGUCGGAUUAGCUAGUUGGAGGGGUAAAGGCCCACCAAGGCGACGAUCCGUAGCUGGUCUGAGAGGAUGAUCAGCCACACUGGAACUGAGACACGGUCCAGACUCCUACGGGAGGCAGCAGUGGGGAAUAUUGGACAAUGGGCGCAAGCCUGAUCCAGCAAUGCCGCGUGUGUGAAGAAGGCCUCGGUUG